UUGAUGCGAGCUUAUUUGGAGCCUCCAGAUUAUCCUGGGCAUCAUCAAAAGGAUGGCAGCAAUGGACUUUGUCAUGGAUCUGAGCAAAAAGAAGAGUCCUGGGAAGGUGAUUUGUAGGAAGGAGGCGACCAGUACUGGUCAAAACUGUUGUGUUAGAGGAGGAUUUGGUCCUUUCUUUCGUUAAAA